GAUGAACGCUGGCGGCGUGCUUAACACAUGCAAGUCGAACGGAGUUUAUAAGACAGAUUCCUUCGGGAUGAAGACUUAUAAACUUAGUGGCGGACGGGUGAGUAACGCGUGGGUAACCUGCCUUACACAGGGGGAUAGCAGUUGGAAACGACUGGUAAUACCGCAUACCUUGCAUUAGUCGCAUGACUUAUGUAAGAAAGAUUUAUCGGUGUAAGAUGGACCCGCGUCUGAUUAGAUAGUUGGUGGGGUAACGGCCUACCAAGUCGACGAUCAGUAGCCGGACUGAGAGGUUGAACGGCCACAUUGGGACUGAGAUACGGCCCAGACUCCUACGGGAGGCAGCAGUCGGGAAUAUUGCGCAAUGGAGGAAACUCUGACGCAGUGACGCCGCGUAUAGGAAGAAGGUUUUCGGAUUGUAAACUAUUGUCGUUAGGGAAGAGAAAGGACAGUACCUAAGGAGGAAGCUCCGGCUAACUACGUGCCAGCAGCCGCGGUAAUACGUAGGGAGCGAGCGUUAUCCGGAAUUAUUGGGUGUAAAGGGUGCGUAGACGGGAGAACAAGUUAGUUGUGAAAUACCUCGGCUCAACUGAGGAACUGCAACUAAAACUGUACUUCUUGAGUGCAGGAGAGGUAAGUGGAAUUCCUAGUGUAGCGGUGAAAUGCGUAGAUAUUAGGAGGAACACCAGUGGCGAAGGCGACUUACUGGACUGUAACUGACGUUGAGGCACGAAAGUGUGGGGAGCAAACAGG
rnacentral:rRNA from 1 species